UCCAGACUCCUACGGGAGGCAGCAGUGAGGAAUAUUGGUCAAUGGGCGAGAGCCUGAACCAGCCAAGUCGCGUGAGGGAGUACUGCCCUAUGGGUUGUAAACCUCUUUUGUCGGGGAGCAAAAGCCGGACGUGUCCGUCUGUGAGAGUACCCGAAGAAAAAGCAUCGGCUAACUACGUGCCAGCAGCCGCGGUAAUACGUAGGGGGCAAGCGUUAUCCGGAUUUACUGGGUGUAAAGGGCGUGUAGCCGGGUUGACAAGUCAGAUGUGAAAUCCUGCGGCUUAACCGCAGAACUGCAUUUGAAACUGUUGAUCUUGAGUACUGGAGAGGCAGACGGAAUUCCUAGUGUAGCGGUGAAAUGCGUAGAUAUUAGGAGGAACACCAGUGGCGAAGGCGGUCUGCUGGACAGCAACUGACGGUGAGGCGCGAAAGCGUGGGGAGCAAACAGGAUUAGAUACCCCUGUAAAG
rnacentral:rRNA from 1 species